UACGGGGGGAGCAAGCGUUGUUCGGAAUUACUGGGCGUAAAGGGCUCGUAGGCGGCCAACUAAGUCAGACGUGAAAUCCCUCGGCUUAACCGGGGAACUGCGUCUGAUACUGGAUGGCUUGAAUCCGGGAGAGGGAUGCGGAAUUCCAGGUGUAGCGGUGAAAUGCGUAGAUAUCUGGAGGAACACCGGUGGCGAAGGCGGCAUCCUGGACCGGCAUUGACGCUGAGGAGCGAAAGCCAGGGGAGCAAACGGG
rnacentral:rRNA from 1 species